AGCGGACACAGGGCCCUGGCCUGCGCUGCCGGCUGCAGCGAUUGGCGGCGCGGGCCCGAAAGCGGUCGGUCCGUGAGAAUGCCCUAAAACGAGCGGCUUCCUCACCGGCUCCGUGUAGUGCCAGCGAAGCGAGGGCAGGAGCCCGAUAGUGCGGGGAGAGGCGGGGGCAGCGGGCAGGGGGCACUGGCGGGGACUGGGCAGCCCCGGGUGCGGCCAGGACCCGGCCCGCAGCGGCGGGGCGAAGCAGGAGCUGGCAGUGAGGGAAACGGAGGAGAAUCACAGAAUGGUUUGGCUUAGAAGGGACCUUUAAGAUGAUCUAGUUCCAGCCCCCCUCUGUUAAAAACGGGACCAGACUCCUGGUACUAAAAGCGAUCUCAGCAUUUAUUAUAAGAAAAAGAACGGCCUAAAGCAAGGGGCUUGCGGGCCGAGCCGGGGCGGUCGCUGGAUGCUGCAGCGCCGGCGCUGGGUCUUCAGCAGCGAGGUCCCCGGUGUUCCAGGUGGAGCAGCACGGCUUCCCUGGGUCGGAUGCCCCUUUUUAACCUGUUUUUUGUCCCUUUGGAUUGGUUUCUUUUUGGAUGCUUCAUUUGCGAGAAGGUUUUAGGCGGUUGGUUGGCCCUUUAGAGUUUUGUCCAGGUUGGCUCAUUUUGCCUGGGGAGUGCUGCACUUCACUUAGGUGUAUUAUGGUAUGUUGCAUACCGUAUUUCUUAUAAUUACCCUUUUAACCCCUUUUACAAUAUAACAACCAAACUAACAGUACAUGCUUAACGAUUAUCAGCUAUUUUACAACAGUUUCUAAUUGUUAGAAGGCAAUUACCUAAAUUUAGGUAAUUGCCUUUCUAACCUAUUUUUAACACCCCUGCCACGGGCAAAGACAAUUUCCCCUAAGUUGCUCAGAGUUCCAUCCAACUUGGCCUUGAACACUUUCCUGGUGGAGCAUUCAUAGCUUCUCUGGGAAACCUGUGGUAGUGUUUCAUUACCUUCACAGUUAAGAAUUUCUCCCUAUUAUCUAGUCUAAACCCACUCUUUCUCAAUUUGAAGCCAUUCCCACCAUUGGGAUGCCCCACAUUGGCAGGUGUAAAAAGUCCCUCUCCAGCAUUCUUGUAGCCCCCUUUGGGUACUGGAAGGUGCUGGAAGGCAUCCUUGGAGUCUUCAUUUGAACAAUCCCAAUUCUUUCAGACUGUCUUUAUAGAAGGGGUGCUCCAGCCUUCAUGACCCUCCUGUGCCCUUGCUCCAACAUAAUUUCUGUGCUGGCAGCACUUUGGAUGGGAAGUCUUGUAACAGUGGAGUAGAGGGGCAGAAUCACCUCCUUCGUAAUGGUAAUGGUCACACUUUAAUCAACUUUAUGAUGUUUCCACUAAAGGUUUUGCUCAUAAAAGGAAGCAAAGUUUGAGGUGUGACAUCUGUAGGUAAUUUUUUUCCCCCUACAGGUGAGUAGGGUCAGUGCAAGGAAAGCAGGAGGGUGGUGUGUCAUGUCUGUCCUUGCUGGGUGUCACAUGCUGCUGCUUGUGCAACACGUGUGUGUGCUGGUGGUGUAGCUGCUGCUGCUUAGAAAGGUGCAGAGACACGGUGUCAUUUUCCAGUCAUGGCUUUGGACUCCAGCACUCUGGGCUUGCCAUGGCCCUUGCUCCUGAGGGCACAAAACUAGAAAGGGGUCUAGGUGUAAAGUAGUCUGAAAUAAACCCGUGCAAAAUCAGCAGGGUUUUGCAACAUAUAGGUCUCUCUACUUAGCUUGGAGACAGGAGAGUGAGAACACUGGAUAGUGUCACUACAAGAUGUGAAACAACAUGACGUGGACUUGCUGUUCUUUCCAAGGUGUUAAAAAGCGCAAACAACAAGCAGGACAAAAAAGCCGAAAGCAACUUGAUUUAAGAAGAACAGGGAGAUUAGUGCUUCUUGCGGCUUGGGGACGACAGAACUGGCAAGCGGCGCUGUCAAAAUAGACUACGAUGUGACGGUGGGAAUUUUGUCCUGACGAAUUGGAAUGGCUGCCCAUGAGAAAAUCGCAUAAGACCGGAAAAUGGAGAAGUGUGAGAUCAGCCAUUUUAAACAUUAGAAGCAAAUUGUUUCUUCCGAGGGCUGCCUUCCCCAGGAAAAAUGCUGACUUUGGCAGCACCUUUAUGUUUGCAGAGCACCCUGUGUGCAGCAAGCCAUUGCUGCUGUGCAGCGGUCAAUGAGAUCAGGACGAUCUCAGCAGUACAGAACAGUUUGAUUCUAGGAUGUGGAGAUCCACUGACGCAAUUAUUGCAGAGAUCAGAAAUAUCUGGUUUACCUGUGGGAAGCUAAAACUGCUAGGAGUGUGUUGGCUGUGGCUCUGCAGGCUUUUAGUGGGAGAGAAGUGAAGUUAGUAUUUCUUUUGCAGAUUACUUGAGUGAUUCCCUGACUUCUGUCUGUCUUUACUGUAACCUCUUGGGAAAGUAACAUUUCUAUUCUUCCUUUGUGUUGAGCCUUUUUCAGUGGGACCCUGAUCUUGCUGGACCUAAUCAGAGCUGCUGCAAAAUUAGAAUACUGCCAUUUGUUCCUCUCCCACUCUAAGGCAACUGCAUAGUAAAACUCUCUAUCUUUUUCCAGAGUUUUAAAACUCAAUUCAUUCCUUAAAUGCAAGAGGGCUUAGGGAAGAGUGAAGAUUGAUUCUCAAAGUUACAAAUCCUGCUGCCUUUCCAAAUAAAAUUAAACAGCAUCCUAGUCUCACCUGUAUGCUUGCUGACCAUCUCAGCAUCCUAGUCUCACCUGUAUGCUUGCUGACCAUCUCAGCAUUAGGAAGACAUCCUAAUGUGCUUUCUGCUGCUGUUUUGUUAUUACACACACACAUACCCUUUUCUCUUUUUUUUUCAUAAUAGCUAGCUCCUUAUGCUUCAGAGACUGUCAGAUGAGAAUAACAGGACAUCCAUGAUAUUCAUAAUAUUUGUAGCAGCUGUCAAAUGAUACUGUCUUAGAGUGGAAGAUAUGUAGUUCUGCAGAGUGACAGCUGUGGCUUGUAUAUAUUUAAAGCAGCCCUCUCUGUCUGAAGGGUGGUGGCACCCAGACAUAUAGCAGUCUUACUCUGAUUGACAACAUUUUUUAUUCUCCUUUCUUGUUUUGUUUUUUUUUUUGAUUGUACAAACACUGUCAUCAUUGCUUCAUCAUUGCCUUUUUAUCCAAUCAAGCAAAGAGGAGAGCACAGUAUCUAGAACAACACUUUUCUAGAUGUUCUAAGAAGUACUACAGAAAAAUUGACUUUCACACUAAUGUAUUCCUCAAAAGCAGUUGCUUGUUCCAGAAUGUGUUCCUUUGAUAAGAUGUCUAAUACAGUGAGAUGUUUGCCUUAGAUAUUCAUCAGACAUUCCUGUGCUUCAAAAAGAAAAAAGAGAAAAGAAAAGAGGACUGAUAUUUUUGGGAUCACUUUGUCCAUGCUAUAGAAGCUGAAAUUGGAUGGAGCAAAGAUCAAUAACGUAUCCAGUUAAUACACUAACUAAAUGAAAUGAAUCAUAAGAAAUGAAAUGACUUCUCCUGACAAUCUUGAGAUAAAUGCUGUUCCAUAAUACCUCAGUCUUGUCAAUUUGAAUUUAUAUUACUGGCAAACAGUUGCUGGUGUGUGGUCUCUAUUGUGUAAAUCUCCCAGGAAGCAGGUACUCACUAUUAUUUGUGACUUAUGUUAUUCCUGGGGCUCAACCUUUGUUAUCCAUUUUCAUUUAGUGAAGGCAAAGAGUGUUUUUCUCUCCUGGCCUUGCACGUUCCUCUGUUCCUAGCAAGGUCACACGUUAGUCUGGUGCAAGUGUGGCAUGGAAAAAGGAAUGAUCCUAAAGGCAAAAUGAGAUGAUAAAAAAGUGGAGUUUUUGCUUCAUUCUUUUCAUUGCCUGGAGAAAAUGUGCUUCUCAGGCAUGGUGACAACUGGUCCUAGAGAUGUGCUGCUUCUUUCUGUAUUUUGAAGUUUGUCUGUUCAACAUGAAAUAAUUUGCUAGGUUUGUAUCUCGUUGCCUUCAAACUGAUGAAGAUACAUUUUUGUUGUUAAUUCUUGAUUAAAAUUUGGCCUUUUGUCAUGAGGGUAAGUUGGGAAUGUAUCUAUUAAAUUUUAAUUUCUGAGCCUUGCUUUAUAAACAUAAAA